rnacentral:lncRNA from 1 species
UGCAUCAGGAACUCAAUGCAUGUUUACUAAAUUAAAUCCUUAGACUAGAUUUCUCCAAGCCAAUUGUAAAUAACUGAGGUAAUCAAGGAGGUGCAUUACUUUUGUGUCUACCUGAAAUUUAUGACCCAACAUAUUUUGGGCACAUGUAGUUUACAUUGAUGAGAAUGAUCUGUGGAAUUGCGUCUGCUCUCUACGUCUACUUACCGAUGAAGGCAGAGUCUUUAAUCCUAGAGGCCAGUGUCCCUUCUUCCACCUACCAGUGUAUAGUAGAAGCAGCAGCAGCAGCAGCAGCAGCAGCAGCAGCAGCAGCAGGAGCUAGGAAUCUCUUAAUUGCUUUGUGCUUGUCAAGAUUAUGCAACUUUCCAGAAUUCAAGAUCAUGGAAAACUGCCAGAAGGAAAUGGGUCUUCUCCUCUCCCAAAUGGUCCCAUAACUAGUCUGGCCACCUUGAGCCAUCCAAGAGGAGAAUGUGGUCAGGGACCGUGACUCAGCUUAAGAAGCUACAUUUAUAUCUAUAUCUACACACAUGUUCUACCGACUAUGACCACACCACCAUGGCCCAUGCCCAUACACCCACGUGUGAACCAAGAG